rnacentral:rRNA from 1 species
UACUGCUCAGUAACACGUGGACAACCUAACCUAUGGAGGGGGAUAACCCCGGGAAACUGGGGAUAAUACCCCAUAGACUAUGGAUGCUGGAAUGCUCUGUAGUUGAAAGGUCCGCCGCCAUAGGAUGGGUCUGCGGCCGAUUAGGUUGUUGUUGGGGUAACGGCCUAACAAGCCUGUAAUCGGUACGGGUUGUGGGAGCAAGAGCCCGGAGAUGGAUUCUGAGACACGAAUCCAGGCCCUACGGGGCGCAGCAGGCGCGAAAACUUUACAAUGCGGGAAACUGUGAUAAGGGAACUCCGAGUGCCCGUAAAAUCGGGCUGUCCAUCUGUUUAAAUAACAGGUGAAGAAAGGGCCGGGCAAGACCGGUGCCAGCCGCCGCGGUAAUACCGGCGGCUCGAGUGGUGGCCACUAUUACUGGGCUUAAAGCGUUCGUAGCUGGUUUGUUAAGUCUCUGGGGAAAUCUGCCGGCUUAACCGGCAGGCGUUUCAGGGAUACUGGCAGACUAGGGACCGGGAGAGGUGAGGGGUACUCCAGGGGUAGGAGUGAAAUCCUGUAAUCCUUGGGGGACCACCUGUGGCGAAGGCGCCUCACCAGAACGGCUCCGACAGUGAGGGACGAAAGCUGGGGGAGCAAACCGGAUUAGAUACCCGGGUAGUCCCAGCUGUAAACGAUGCGCGUUAGGUGUAUCGGUGACCACGAGUCACCGAGGUGCCGAAGAGAAAUCGUGAAACGUGCCGCCUGGGAAGUACGGUCGCAAGGCUGAAACUUAAAGGAAUUGGCGGGGGAGCACUACAACAGGUGGAGCCUGCGGUUUAAUCGGACUCAACGCCGGAAAUCUCACCGGAUAAGACAGCUGGAUGAUAGUCGGGCUGAAGACUCUACUUGACUAGCUGAGAGGAGGUGCAUGGCCGUCGUCAGUUCGUACUGUGAAGCAUCCUGUUAAGUCAGGCAACGAGCGAGACCCCCACCAA